GGUAGCCCUAGAGCAACGGCGUAGGAUUCACGCUAGCAAACAUGAUGUUAGUGUUGAGGCAUAAAGCCAAAAUGAUUGAUGUUUGAAAUGUUUACAAGGUUUCUGUAAUAGGACAGAUAAAGGGUGGCAGUUGUCACUCAGCAGAGUGUGCUUUUGGACCAUACAGACAUAGAACAACAAUAUUCUGAAGGUUGACAAUAUAGGCAGUUCAAGAGAAGGUGCUAUUAUUCCUGUUACUAGAGUAUCAACAACAGAUGCACAGCAAGAGAGUCCUUAUGGUGCCACAGAAUGCAACCGUGUGAUCCUUAGGUGCAGAACACAAAAUAACCGGAAAACAGCAGGGGUAUUAAAUGUGGCGUAGUUACUGGCAGUGCAGGCAGCACAAAGUACUGGGGCCAGGACUAUUAGUGGCCCAUUCAUAAAAAAAAACAACGGCCAGCGGACCUCUCAAUAAUAUUCGGUUUUUAGAGGAGUAAUUAUUGACUUACUGUGUUCCAUGAACUUUUUCUGAUUAAUUUAGAACAGCUGCUGAGACCGAAUGUGCCCCCAGUUACGAAUCCGUUUAUCAUUAGUGUUGAUUACUAACUUAAGCCUUUAUGAGUAGGGGGUAAAAGAAGCAAUUCUUAUGAUGAAUUUUCCUACGA